rnacentral:rRNA from 1 species
AGAGUUUGAUUAUGGCUCAGAUUGAACGCUGGCGGCAUGCCUAACACAUGCAAGUCGAACGGUAACAGAACCAGCUUGCUGGUUGCUGACGAGUGGCGGACGGGUGAGGAAUAUAUAGGAACUUGCCUAGUAGCGGGGGAUAACCUGUGGAAACGCAGGCUAAUACCGCAUACGCUCUACGGAGGAAAGCAGGGGAUCUUCGGACCUUGCGCUAUUAGAUAGGCCUAUAUUGGAUUAGCUUGUUGGUAAGGUAAUGGCUUACCAAGGCAACGAUCCAUAGCUGGUUUGAGAGAAUGAUCAGUCCACACUGGGACCUGAGACACGGCCCAGACUCCUACGGGAGGCAGCAGUGGGGAAUAUUGCACAAUGGAGGAAACUCUGAGUGCAGCAAUGCCGCGGGUAUGAAGAAGGCCUUCGGGUUGUAAGGUACUUUCAAUAGGGAGGAAACGCUUUGUCCUAAUAUGGCAAAGAUAUGACGUUACCUAUAGAAGAAGAACCGGCUAACUCCGUGCCAGCAGCCGCGGUAAUACGGAAGGUUCGAGCGUUAAUCGGAAUUACUGGGCGUAAAGCGCGCGUAGGCGGUUUGCUAAGUCAGAUGUGAAAUCCCUGGGCUUAACCUAGGAACUGCAUUUGAAACUAGCAAGCUAGAGUAUGGUAGAGGUGGGUGGAAUUUCAGGUGCAGCGGUGGAACGCGUAGAGAUCUGAAGGAACAUCAGUGGCGAAGGCGGCUCGCUGGGCCAUCACUGACGCUGAGGUGCGAAAGCGUGGGUAGCAAACAGGAUUAGAUACCCUGGUAGUCCACGCCCUAAACGAUGUCAACUAAAUGUGUGGGAGUAUAACUCUUGCGUAUUUCAGCUAACGCGAUAAGUUGACCGCCUGGGGAGUACGGUCGCAAGACUAAAACUCAAAUGAAUUGACGGGGGCCCGCACAAGCGGUGGAGCAUGUGGUUUAAUUCGAUGCAACGCGAAAAACCUUACCAGGUCUUGGACAUGUACGGAAAUUGCCAGAGAUGGCGAUGUGCCUUCGGGAGCCGUAACACAGGUGCUGCAUGGCUGUCGUCAGCUCGUGUCGUGAGAUGUUGGGUUAAGUUCCCGCAACGAGCGCCAACCCUUGUCUUUAGUUGCCAGCACUUUAAGGUGGGCACUCUAAGGAGACUGCCGGUGACAAACCGGAGCAAGGUGGGGACGACGUCAAGUCACUUCAUGGCCUUUAUGACCUGGGCUACACACGUGCUACAAUGGCCAGUACAGAGGGUUGCUAACUCGCAAGGGUAGGCUAAUCCCAUAAAGCUGGUCGUAGUCCGGAUUGGAGUCUGCAACUCGACUCCAUGAAGUCGGAAUCGCUAGUAAUCGCAGAUCAGCACGCUGCGGUGAAUACGUUCCCGGGCCUUGUACACACCGCCCGUCACACCAUGGGAGUGGGUUGCAAAAGAAGUGAGUAGGCUAACUUCGGAGGCCGCUCACCACUUUGUGAUUCAUGACUGGGGUGAAGUCGUAACAAGGUAACC